rnacentral:piRNA from 1 species
UGGCCACAAGUACUUUGCUGGUUAGCACC